rnacentral:rRNA from 1 species
AACGAACGCUGGCGGCAUGCCUAACACAUGCAAGUCGAACGAGACCUUCGGGUCUAGUGGCGCACGGGUGCGUAACGCGUGGGAACCUGCCCUUAGGUUCGGAAUAACUCCCCGAAAGGGGUGCUAAUACCGGAUAAUGUCUUCGGACCAAAGAUUUAUCGCCUUUGGAUGGGCCCGCGUUGGAUUAGCUAGUUGGUAGGGUAAAAGCCUACCAAGGCGACGAUCCAUAGCUGGUCUGAGAGGAUGAUCAGCCACACUGGGACUGAGACACGGCCCAGACUCCUCCGGGAGGCAGCAGUGGGGAAUAUUGGACAAUGGGCGAAAGCCUGAUCCAGCAAUGCCGCGUGAGUGAUGAAGGCCUUAGGGUUGUAAAGCUCUUUUACCCGGGAUGAUAAUGACAGUACCGGGAGAAUAAGCUCCGGCUAACUCCGUGC